rnacentral:rRNA from 1 species
CUUGACAAACCUAUAAGAGGUCCAGCCUGCCCAGUGACUCUGUUCAACGGCCGCGGUAUCCUAACCGUGCGAAGGUAGCGUAAUCACUUGUUCUUUAAAUGAGGACUAGUAUGAAUGGCACCACGAAGGUUAUACUGUCUCCUUUUUCUAAUCAGUGAAACUAAUCUUCCCGUGAAGAAACGGGAAUAAAAAUAUAAGACGAGAAGACCCUAUGGAGCUUUAAACAAAUAUACACCUGCCUUUUUACCAAAAAUUUCAGAAGACAAGUAAUUACCCGGGCAUUUUGAUAUAGCGUUUUAGGUUGGGGUGACCGCGGAGCAAAAAAUAACCUCCGCAGCGAACGGGAGUAUUCCCUAAACCAAGGGCCACAACCCUAAGUAUUAAUAAAUUAACACUAAUUGACCCAAUAAAUUUGAUCAAUGAAC